rnacentral:rRNA from 1 species
CGGGCCUUACAUGCAAGUCGAGCGGUAAGGCCCUUCGGGGUACACGAGCGGCGAACGGGUGAGUAACACGUGAGCAACCUGCCCCUGACUCCGGGAUAAGCGGUGGAAACGCCGUCUAAUACCGGAUACGACCCGCCACCUCAUGGUGGAGGGUGGAAAGUUUUUCGGUCAGGGAUGGGCUCGCGGCCUAUCAGCUUGUUGGGGGGUAACGGCCUACCAAGGCGAUUACGGGUAGCCGGCCUGAGAGGGCGACCGGCCACACUGGGACUGAGACACGGCCCAGACUCCUGCGGGAGGCAGCAGUGGGGAAUAUUGCGCAAUGGGCGAAAGCCUGACGCAGCGACGCCGCGUGGGGGAUGACGGCCUUCGGGUUGUAAACCUCUUUUACCACCAACGCAGGCUCGAAGUUCUCUUCGGGUUGACGGUAGGUGGGGAAUAAGGACCGGCUAACUACGUGCCAGCAGCCGCGGUAAUACGUAGGGUCCGAGCGUUGUCCGGAAUUAUUGGGCGUAAAGAGCUCGUAGGCGGCGUGUCGCGUCUGCUGUGAAAGACCGGGGCUUAACUCCGGUUCUGCAGUGGAUACGGGCAUGCUAGAGGUAGGUAGGGGAGACUGGAAUUCCUGGUGUAGCGGUGAAAUGCGCAGAUAUCAGGAGGAACACCGGUGGCGAAGGCGGGUCUCUGGGCCUUACCUGACGCUGAGGAGCGAAAGCAUGGGGAGCGAACAGGAUUAGAUACCCUGGUAGUCCAUGCCGUAAACGUUGGGCGCUAGGUGUGGGGACUUUCCACGGUUUCCGCGCCGUAGCUAACGCAUUAAGCGCCCCGCCUGGGGAGUACGGCCGCAAGGCUAAAACUCAAAGGAAUUGACGGGGCCCGCACAAGCGGCGGAGCAUGUGCCUACUCGACGCACGCGUAAGAACCUUACCAAGGUUUGAAC